CGAUUUCAGGUAAAAAGGGGUCUGGUAGUGAGGACAUAGUUGUGCUGUCAUGGCCCCAAAUUGCCAAAGUGAGAAUCAAAGCUUUUUGUCCCAUAUGCUCCAGCGGGGUUACUCUUUUGGCUGUACGAAGUCUGCAGGUGUGAUGGUGCUGAAGUGGAGAAGGAGCUGCUCAGUGGGAGAGAGAAACAGAGAGAGAAAGAGAGGGAACCUGACACAGCAAUCCUCAGCACCCCUCCACACUUCACCUAUAAAUAGCACCAGGUUUUCUAUCCUCUAGGAUCCUCUUCAGAUGGCUCCAUGAAAAAUUUGUACAUUUCCACUCAACUGCAUCCAGCUCAAAACAGAGCGUUCCUCAGAAAGAAUGUGUGUGUGCUCACAGUCCAAUUGCACACUGGAUUUAAAGACAUUUAAAGAAAAAAUCAUGUACCAUGGCAUGUUUACUGCUUCAUUUGAUGUGAUAACAAAGGCCAACUAAUGACCAAUCACUGCUGUCAAAAUGAGAGAGAUGGCUAGUACAUGCAGGGUUGACACCCUUCUUAUUGCCUGAGUCAGACGAGCGUCUGAGUGAAAUUCUCUCCCAGCAGUGAUUAUGCACAGAACUGCAUGUUACAGGAUAACCCACUAUCCUGCCUUCCACGGAAUCAAUACAGUUGAUACACUCAGCCGGUACGCUCAUGCAGUCCUCCACAUGACAACACGAUCACCGGAGAAUUUGGGUUGUAAACAAAAUUCACACUGCGGUGUUGAAUCAUACUUCUCGAGUCUGCACUGAAAGGAGUGAUGCAUAGGCUCACGGGCACCGAUGCAUUCCCCCAAGGCGCAUCACCCGUCACAUUCAGGUGUCGAAAGCGAGAUUUUGCAUUAGGCAACAAUUAAAGUCGCGCAGAGCUAAAAAUAGAGUGUUACCUUGUAGAGUUCAUGACGGGUUUCGUUGCUCGGAGGACACGGAGCUUCUCUCGCUGUGCGCGAAGAAAAACGAGAGUCGGACACGCACACAAAUUCAGCGCUGUGGAAGGCAAGAUGUUGGAGAGGCUUGUUGUUGUGCAGCUCAGCGUCACUGACUCAAAGUCAGCCUACGUACCUCCGCCUGCUUCUGAAGUGCUGCCACCAAAUGCUCCAAAUCUGCAAGAUUUAUCAUGAACUGACAGCCAGAGCUCUGAUUCAAAUGUUCAGAUGCUUCUGUCACUUCUUUCUUUUUUCUAUUUCGUCUCUAAUGCAGACUUGUGCAGUUGUUCCCAAAGGGUCACUUCGGGCUGGUGGUGGUGCUGAAUAGACAGCUCCGUAACCCCCACUUAAAGCUGCUCGGCUGCUCCUCUGUGUGAAAAGACGAGAGUGGAAAGGUUCUCGAGUUCUUAAUAAAAAUAUUUAUGAAUUCA